UAGACUGGGAGCAAAAUAGAGAAUGCCCUUUAGAACUUCUAAGGGGCGCUCUCUAAAACAAUUUUAAUGCUUUUGAGCCUUUGUGGGUGGGGAAAUCGGAGUGCAGCACAGCACAGCACAGAUCAUCUGCUGCAAAAUUUAAAGAAAACAGGAACAGAACUACCACAGUCUGACAGCACCGCCCCUUUAAACUAAAUGCCUAACAAAAAACUUCCCCCUUCUUUUUUCCCUCACGCAGUGCCAUCAGUGAGGCAGCACACUCAGGACAGCUCAUUUAUAGCCAGGAGGACUGACACUAAAUGAGGUCCUGAAAGGGUGACAGAUGCAGCUGAGAUUUGCCAGGAUAACUAUCAGGACCUUCAUCUUCACUGGAGCUGUUCUCAUUUUAAGUCAACCCAUAUUUUAUUUUAUCUUUUGCAAUCAAAAUGAAAUAUGAAUCUUUCAAUACUAUUCAUGGACCAGGUAUUCCAAUGUUUGUUUGGUUUAUCAUUAGCGCUGUGGCAAUGUUCAUCCUAUUUUGCGUGUGUGCUGCCUGUAGAUGCUGUAGAUCUCGAAAUUACAGAGCACCUAUGUGGACAAUAGAAUCUUCUGCAGUAUCUGUUGUUAAUUCCCAAUUUAAUAGUGGUUUGGCGCCACCUCAAGGAAAUAAUAUUUAUCCAAUACAAUAUCCACUAAACCCUUCAUAUCAAGCGAAUUCCCAAUAUCAUACGAGUGUUCCAAUGCAUCAUGGUAAUCCUAUUUCUUAUACAGGACAAAAUCAACCAACUGCACCCUAUAACAACUUUGAGAAUCCCAAUGUAAAUCCCCAGUUUAAUACUGGUGCACCGUCAUAUCCAGGAAAUCCUAUGUACUAUCCAGGACAAUUUCAACCAAACUCUUUAAAUCAGUAUCCCAACAUGCCUGUUAAUCCACAAAGUGGAAUUCCACACCCCUCGCAAGCUUUCAGUGUUUUACCGAAUGAUAAUAUGAAAGAUCUUCCACCGAGUUAUGAAGACGUCACAAAACAGACAUGAGGCAUAAUUAACAGUAUUCUAGAUUCCGAAUCAAUAACCAACUGCUUUACUGAGACCUUGUGUAUCAACUUAGCAAACACUCUUUGAAGAAGCUGUAAACCAGCUAUCUGGCGAUUUUAAGGGUAUUUUCCCUUCCACAAGAUUAGCACUGGAAAACAACAGUUUAUGCUACACUUAAGAUUACCUUUUGGGAUAUGUUUUAUUGUUAUAAUAAAAUAGGAGUGGGUUAUACUUAAUAGUAAUCAUUGCAAGUUUAAUAUUAAUCACUUUACAAGGAUUUUACCUUUUAUUUCUUUUUUUUUUUAAACUUCAUCUGUGCAGUGUCCAUUACUUCCUGUCACAGGGAAUUUAAAAAAGGCUUUUCUAGCUUGAUGUCAUAAAUCUUCUAGAGUAAAUUGAGCUGGCUUAGAGUUUAGUGAACGCAAGAGAAACAGUCUGUUUUGUCCAUGCUUAGAAGUGGCAGAAUGCAACUUAAGUUCAAAACACGUCUGCUCUCUCAUCAGAGAGCAGUGGCUAUAAUAGGUAAUUGUAAGUGUUCACUUUGCAAGAAAAUAAGUAGGCUGUUUGCUUUUUUUUUAACACAAUCUUUUUUUUAAUGUUUACUUACAUUUAACAUAUUUUUUGUUUGUUAAAGGAAUACUGUUUCAUAUGCCUUUAAGAAAAAAAUGUAAAUAAAUAUUUUAACUAUCUUUUCUAUUUCAGGAAACUACAAUAUUCACAAAUUUUUAAAAAAAUGCAACACCAUGUUUUGCUAUUCAUACAAAAAACAUAAAAAGUUAAUGCAACAUACUAAAAGCUAGAUCACAAUCUACAUUUAAAAAUAACAGUUGAAAGUAACUGCAAAAUACAAACAUAUUAUAAGGUUAUACUGUGUGUGUAUAUAAAUAAAUAUAUGUAUAUAUGAUAUAUGAGCUAAUGCCAAAGAGAAGUGAUUAACUAAUCAGCUAUUCAGCUACAGCAGGAGAACUCUAUACUGAAGGCAAAAAAUACAUCUGAAUCAGUUUUGUAUACACUGGCCAGUGUUUUAAAUUAUUUGCCCUGUAAAAGGAUAGCAUGCACCAUGUUAUUUAUGUUUGUAUGAUAUUAAUUUGUGUGUUAUUUUCUGGUGUUAUAUUUUUGGGUGAAAAUAGAGUAAUAGGAUUUCUUUGAAAACUUGCACAGAUAUAUGAAUUAUACUUUUUUUCAAUAAAUAUUCAUUUUGUAUUUUCAUAGUAAA